UACGUAGGGACCGAGCGUUGUCCGGAUUCAUUGGGCGUAAAGAGCUCGUAGGCGGCUGCUCAAGUCGAAUGUGAAAACUCGAGGCUCAACCUCGAGCCUGCAUUCGAUACUGGGCGGCUAGAGUCUGGUAGGGGGAUCUGGAAUUCCUGGUGUAGCGGUGGAAUGCGCAGAUAUCAGGAGGAACACCGGUGGCGAAGGCGGCAUCCUGGACCGAGAUUGACGCUGAACGGCGAAAGCUAGGGGAGCAAACGGG
rnacentral:rRNA from 1 species